ensembl:lncRNA
GAAGAGGCGAACUGGACACUCUUAUCUGACGCUCCCUAACAAGAAGAGAGGCCGCGUCUUUCUGUAUCCCACAACACACAUGCAUACACCUAAACCGCUCUUAUCUUCACUCCCUACGCACUAACUUUCCUCUGCCUAUGAAUAGACGUAUUCACUGUUGUAUUAUUUUUGCAUAUAAAUAAAGACAAGUGUAAGAACAGAGCGCUGAUCACAGGGCCCCCACUCUGGUGUGAGCGUUCUGUGACCGCCCUUGCAAGUAAAAAUCUACAGUGUGUGUCUCUUCACUCUUAGACUCUCAGCUGAAGAAGUGUCAUUUAGAAUAAAUCUCUUGACAUUUAUUUUGGUCCUUCGUAGCCGGGGCAGAAACAUCAGAACUGUUAUCUGUGACUCUGUUCCAAGGAUUUAGCACUGAUUCCUGACGCCGUGGGAAGCCAGCACCGAAGUCUGUGCACAGCCCUCUUAGACGAGGCCGAAAGCCCUGGAACGCUAAAAUUCGGGUCCAGGCCGGUGUUUUUAGUCUGGUCCACGGCGGUGGGAUUCAGUCUGACGAUCCGAAUCACCAGUGAGACGUCUGAGGGCUGCUUUGCCGGCUCUGAAAGCCGAAGCUGACCUGGACUCCUGCUCUCCCCUCUACCAUCUCUGACCCUGACCAAAUGCUGCAGCAGCUGGACCCAUAACAACAAUCUAAAAAUGUCAACAGUGCUACAGGAAAGCGAUCUCAUGCAGCAGAGACGGAGAGCGUUAAAUCCAAGGCCCGUUUCACUACACGGGGGAGAUUUCCAGACAGCUUCAGCUGACAGAGCUGUGACGAGACGCCCAUUAAGCCCGAAUGAAAAGUAAGGCCGAGCGAAAGAAUGCUGACCUUGAUAACUUUGCAUUUAACACUGUGCAGGACAGUGAUGGACCAACACGGAUGAUCGGGCAGCAGAAGAAAGGGCGUGCCAGAGACAGGAGGAGCAACUGAGGUCAAAAGGCACCUCAGAAUGGACAAAACACAGAAGAAGAUGCAGGUUUCACCUGCGGUGAGCAUGGACACUGGAGAAAGGACUGCCCCAAUUGGGGCCAGGACCAGGACAGACUGAACUAUGAGCAGCAGCAGCAGCAGCAGCAGCAAUGGUCGCAACCGGACUGAAAAGGAGGAGGGCAGGACCCCAGGGCACGCUUCAGGCCGUGGUUUACCCAAAACACCAGAACAGGAAAGUGAUAAACACGCCAACAUACACAAACAUACACAUCUACACACACUGACUCAAAAUGAAGAGAAACACACACCUGAACAGACGUGCACUUGUUGAUUGAGUGAGAAGUGACACACACACACAUCAGACAAUGUACACUCAUCAAACAUGACUGAUGCCCUGAAUGCCUUGAGACAGAUCCAGCAGGCCCAAAAUCAGGACUAUGUAAAUAAUACAAGUGACUGCUAAAAAGACUACUACUGCCUUUUCACUGUGCAAUACUUUUUGUUAAAAACC